rnacentral:lncRNA from 1 species
GUUAGUUAUGAAUUAAGAAGAGAAAUUGAUCAAAUCGGAAAAUAAAAUGAAGUUACAUCACUUCCGUUAUGAAGUUGCAACGCUCCGACGAAAGGUGGCGUACGAGCAGAGCGGAGUGAAGUCGGGAGUCACUACAGAGUCGUCGUGUCGAGCGGACGUGUACUGCCGUUCUAGUCGGGCAGUCUACCGCGAACCAUCGUCAUGAGCAGACGUGUCGAAUAAUUACGAGGAGUGCUAUAGUCGCUCACCUAUAACUUGUAGGGACGUCAAGAAAGUGUGAUCGGAAAAGAGUACCUAGCAAGUACGUUCACAUGUCCCGAUGAUUCGGUCCGAAUAUAGGAACCAUGGGUGGUGGAGGGCAAGUAGAGGGCGAGUAGCCCCUUCGCGCUAACGUCCUUAUGCGCGCUAGAUAACGAGAGACUGUGUAACCGUUACGAAUACCGUGACGUUGCCGUGAGUGUGUACCUUAUGCUGUGAGUUUAUUUAAUCGUGAUACAAAAACUAUGUGGAAGUAAAUAAAAUGAUUGUGAUACUGAUGACGGCCAUUAUUGUCUUCUAACGCCCACCCUCCAUUCUGAUGAUGAUGUUACGACCGACCGACCCCACUGAUACGACAUCAGAAGUGGGAUUAGUGGACUUGGAUGAAGACAACGUGAUGCGACGUUCACAACAAGACAAUGCAAGUUUCGAUUAUCACAAUCAGAAGAAGAUUAUGAUGAUUAUCACAUUCGUGUGACCACGUGAUGAAGAUGUAGUGUCAUGCCUGAAUUUGGAGAUGGACCUGAAUUUUAAGUGACCUGGACCUUGUUAAUGAUCGACAUCACUACAUGCCGUAAGAUAUGAUGGCGUGAACAUCACAAUAUGUCCAUACUGUGUGCAGUCGUGUUUGAAAAUUAUGGAACCUGAAAUUGAAAACUGUUAUUACGGUGAGUCGUUUUCAUACUGGAACCUUAUUGUUGUUGACUUUAUUGCUAUGUGAAUUUCCGUUUCUAAUAAUGAGGAAAUUGUUUUUUAAAAAAAACAAAAUUGACGAGACACAUUGUGUCAAUCCGUGUCAAUCAUACCGCGUUUUCCAAUCUGUUUUCAUCAUUGUCAAAUCUUUGUAUUUUGGUUUAAAAAUAUUUCGAAUUGGUGUAGACACGCUUAACCUGCGUGGUUAAAGUUGUAUUUUCUCACUCCAAGCGGGUGGAGGUUAGUCAUGAUAUGAUGUCUUGUUAAAUAACGUGUUUUGUAAUCUACCGUCAUUCAUCAAAUGUUUCAAUAUUCAACAUUCUUUAUUGUAAUCUUUUUAAACUGAUUGAAAGAAAGUCAUGUGAAUACGAUAAUACAGUGAAUUCUUUUGUUUCAUGUCAUAAUUUGUCACGUGGUUCGGCAACUGGUGGAUUGCAAGCGGCGAUGCAAGUGGCGCGGGCUGAGCUGCAGCCGUGUAAAGUGAUGACAUCACGGCAGCGCAUUGUAUAACAACGGGACUUGUGGAAGACCUAAACCAUGUCACAAGACCAGUGGUUGAUCUUUUAUUGGAAAUUCUUAUAAGUCCUGGUGAGUCGUAUCUGUUUUACCUGAUUUGAAAGAUGGAAAGUUUUAAUAGGAUACAAACGAAUAUAGUGCAGAAAGUUGUCUUUUGUUAACUUUAGUUAAAUUGGAAAUCGUAAUGAAGUGAAGUAAACAUUGCGAAGUAAAAUGAUUUGGAUUAUGAUUAAAUGAAAUAGGCUAGGAAAAUGCCCGAAACAGAGUAAAUCAUUAGUGAGAAAAUUGGAGCAAAACAUUCUAAAUGAUGAUCAUACCGAAUCAGUAAUUGUGUAAGUGCGGUAAUAUUUCCUCGAGGUGUUGGUCGCUACAUUGUGACUUUAUGACUUGUGUGUGUGAGAGCAGGGUGCUCUGUCGUUUUGUGGUCGUGGACCAUGGUGGCCAUCCCGGGAGGGGAUGUUGUGACUCAUGACUGUUUUGUAGCGUAACCGCAGUUUGGGGAGGAAUAUUACAGCCUGUUGUGCUUUGCAGUAGAUGUGUAAUGUUGGUUGAUUUAAUUGAGCAAUGAAAGCUAUGAUUGACCUGUUUCGGAGCAACUCUGAUAGGAAGCUGCGCACUUGUAGUGUUCGGGGCUGCAGCCACUUUUGUGCUGCUCGUCUUAGAAACUACAGGUAUGCGGUCGAGGCCUGGAUGUCAUGUUGACUUUGUAUUUGGUCAUGACAUUGUACCUGAAUCUAAGUCAAGUUGACUUCCGGUAGAAUUAGUCAAACUACACGAAUUAGAAAUUAGUGAUGUAGAAGAAAUUUGUAACCCAUGGACCACUAUUCUACCAACUAAAAUGUAAAGUUUGUGUGCUAGCUGUGUUGAGAUAUCGUCACUUGGUGCAAGUGGCAUGAGUUGCUGUCGCUCGAUUUAGGUGGUAGUGACGCCUGGUUGUGAGAUAUCGUCACUCAGUAGAGUGGCAUGAGUUGCUACCGCUCGAUUUAGGUGGUAGUGACGCCUGGUUUUGAGAUAUCGUCGCUCAGUAGAGUGGCAUGAGUUACUAUCGCUCGUUUAGGUGAUAGUAACGACAGACGUGUAAAGAGUAAUUGGAUUUUCAAGUUUGGUUGUUUAUAGUGUGUGAAUACUGGUCAAUGGUCCGUUUACCGUGUCGGAGUAGUUGAUUUAUCAUGAUGUAAUGUGAACUCGUGUAGAGUCACGAGUAGAGCUCAUGUAGAGUCACGAGUAGAGCUCAUGUAGAGUCACGAGUAGAGCUCGUGUAGAGUCACGAGUAGAGCUCAUGUAGAGUCACGAGUAGAGCUCAUGUAGAGUCACGAGUAGAGCUCAUGUAGAGUCACAAGUAGAGCUCAUGUAGAGUCACAAGUAGAGCUCAUGUAGAGUCUCAUGUUAGGUCAGGAAUGACCGAGCGAACUUGGAUACUGUGCUGUGGUAUGUUGUUUCAGAUUCACACACGAGGACGUGUGUCGCGCAGGAUGGCCGUGUCGGAGUUAGUUAUGAAUAAAGAAGAGAAAUUGAUCAAAUUAGACACUAUAAUGAAGUUGCAACACUUCCAUCAUGAAGUUGCAACGCUCCGACGUCAGGUGGCGUACGAGCAGAGCGGAGUGAAGUCGGGAGUCACUACAGAGUCGUCGUGUCGAGCGGACGUGUACUGCCGUUCUAGUCGGGCAGUCUACCGCGAACCAUCGUCAUGAGCAGACGUGUCGAAUAAUUACGAGGAGUGCUAUAGUCGCUCACCUAUAACUUGUAGGGACGUCAAGAAAGUGUGAUCGGAAAAGAGUACCUAGCAAGUACGUUCACAUGUCCCGAUGAUUCGGUCCGAAUAUAGGAACCAUGGGUGGUGGAGGGCAAGUAGAGGGCGAGUAGCCCCUUCGCGCUAACGUCCUUAUGCGCGCUAGAUAACGAGAGACUGUGUAACCGUUACGAAUACCGUGACGUUGCCGUGAGUGUGUACCUUAUGCUGUGAGUUUAUUUAAUCGUGAUACAAAAACUAUGUGGAAGUAAAUAAAAUGAUUGUGAUACU